rnacentral:rRNA from 1 species
UACGAAGGGGGCUAGCGUUGCUCGGAAUUACUGGGCGUAAAGCGUACGUAGGCGGUUACUCAAGUCAGAGGUGAAAGCCCGGGGCUCAACCCCGGAACUGCCUUUGAAACUAGGUAGCUAGAAUCUUGGAGAGGCGAGUGGAAUUCCGAGUGUAGAGGUGAAAUUCGUAGAUAUUCGGAAGAACACCAGUGGCGAAGGCGACUCGCUGGACAAGUAUUGACGCUGAGGUACGAAAGCGUGGGGAGCAAACAGG